rnacentral:lncRNA from 1 species
CAUUUCACACCUGGCAUCUGCCAUUGUAACUUCAUACUGAUGUAACAUGUGAAUCUGUUGGUCCUGCUUAUUGUCUUUAAAGAAGUCAAUGUACCUACCUAUUUUUGUGCUAUGUUAUUAUCUUUGAUCCGUAUCAGUUGUGUCUCUCUUAAGAGACUCCUACCUUUUCUGACUCGAGUUGUUAACAAUUGUUCCAUACUUCUGUUAGCUAGAACAAUUUUUUUUAUUUGGUACUGCAUGAGUUUUUCCUACUGCAAACACAAAGUAUUUGCUACUAGUAAAACAAGGAUUUUGCUACUAGUAAAACAGGGAUUUUUUAUGCACGGCUACCUGAUGAGUGCUUUCUUUGUACUAUUUCACCUUGGCAUGCAUAUGUUUAUUUCACCUUAGACGGAAAUGAGUGUUAUCAAGGAAAUGGUUUUAGGUAAACCAGCACCUCUCAUCAGUCUUUCUUACUCAAUGUUAUCAGCUGCUUGGUUUUAGGUGAUGGACUCAUUUCCGGUGGUGGUUCUGCUUGGGUUUUCCUGAUGUUGUUUCGCGUUGGGUUCUGAUUCGCUUUGCUGCUAUUGUUUCUGUGGUGAUGCAGACUUGUGGUGAAAAAAGCAAGGCCAAGAAAGACUCCAACAAGCCCAAGCGCCGUCUUAGUCCUCAUUUGAGCCCCAGAUUUGAUUUGUUGUUGUGGUUCGAUUCACGUUGUUUCUGUGGCGUGCUGACGCAUCCUGACCGGGGCCCAUUUUGGUUCUGUUUUUGCAGGGACAGCUUCAGGAAGGACUCCAACAUCAAGCAUGUCUCCAUGGUAAGCAUCUUGGUUCCCUUUGCUCCCGCCCCUAUCUCCUUGUUCUUAUUCGAACUCGUGUUGUGAUAGUUUUUCUUGCAAAUCCCGUGUCCUGAUUUGUGUUUAAAUCGCAGGUUUGCAAGGUUGAUGGUGAGAAGUGGAAGUAUCUUUUGUGAUGUUGUAAGUUACCCGCUCCCCCAUCCCCUCUCUGUUACCGCUCUAUUCAGUGUUGGUCUCUUCCGCCUGAUCUCAGUGUUUGCUCGGUGAUGCGAUGAAAUUUUGGCGGACUUUGUGUUGGUUUUCAUGUUUCUGUGUCGCUGCACCGCGUCAUAUGGGUAUUGUUCGACCCAAUUGGUCAGUGAUAUUUAGAAUUUAGUUGCUAUGCAAUUGUUGAUCUACUCCUAUUCUCAAUUUGGUUGUUCAAAUUUAUGGUUUCCUGUGUUCAAAUGUGUAACCUUGUAGCCUUGUUAGAAUCUGUAUAGUCUGCUCAUCGAUUCAAACUGCUGCUUGAAUGUUGCUUUCCAAAUCCACCAUGCCAUUCUGCACGAUUUAUUCAACGAUUCUUCUUCUGUUAAUAUUUAAUCCUGUAAUCUGUCGCCUUGCACCACACUAACAUUUGCUCCAUGAUUCCCUAACUACUCAACAUGUUGAUAUGUUUUGAACAUCUGAAUUUUGUGUGUGUAGGGGGACUUGUGAUGCAGCACGCCAAGCAACAGCAUGGGGAGGGCGUAUCUGAAAUGUCACCACUGGUGGUGAUGGAUGGUUGCUGGUGGUGGUGGUAGUACCUCCUUGUCUUUCAGGCGGCUGUUGCUGCUGCUGGUAGAAAUGGUAGCUACUUGGUAGCUACGUGGAUGCUUGAAUCUACAUGUUUGCUGUUAGUACGUGUUUUAGCUCCUUGGUAGUACUUCCUGUGCUUGAAUGUACCUUGAAUGUACCUACUGUUGUACAUGUGGCUGUUUAAGGAAUCUUUUUGUGUUGAAAGAAAUAAAAUUGUCA